GGCUGCGUAGCUCAGUCGGUUAGAGCGAGAGAUUCAUAAACUCUAGGCCGGUGGUUCAAGUCCACCCGCAGCCACCA
rnacentral:tRNA from 1 species